rnacentral:rRNA from 1 species
CCUACGGGUGGCAGCAGUGGGGAAUAUUGCGCAAUGGGCGAAAGCCUGACGCAGCGACGCCGCGUGAGGGAUGAAGGUCUUCUGAUCGUUAACCUCUGUCAGCAGGGAAGUACGGUCACUGUGCUAAUCAGCAUUGAAUUGACGGUGCCUGCACAGGAAACACCGUCUAACUCCGUGCCAGCAGCCGCGGUAAUACGGAGGGGGCGAGCGUUAAUCGGAAUUACUUGGCGUAAAGCGCUCGUAGGCGGUAUGGCAAGUCACGGGUGAAAUCCCCGGGCUCAACGUGGGAACUGCGUUUGAAACUGGCAAACUGGAGUGUGUGAGAGGAUAGUGGAAUUCCAGGUGUAGGAGUGAAAUCCGUAGAUAUCUGGAGGAACAUCAGUGGCGAAGGCGACUAUCUGGCACAUAACUGACGCUGAGGAGCGAAAGCGUGGGUAGCAAACAGGAUUAGAUACCCCGGUAGUC